UUGAAUUUUGUUCACAAAAAUUUAUCUUUAAGGGACUUUGGUCUGGCUAGCGGUUUAUUCUUGAAGAGUUGCUAUGUAGGUCUAGGCUAUAAAUCUAUUUCUUUUAAAUGCAUAAUUUAAUAAAUCUAUUCGACUAGUCGAAAUGAUGUUUUAUUUUAGAUUCAUCAGGAAAUCCGGAGGUUAGGCUACUCGACGGUUAUACUUAAGGAUUAGUCCGUCGUCGAACCCGGAUCACCACUAAAGUUUUUUUAGACUAGUUUACACUAAGAUUAUAUAUAAUAAGAAAAGC
rnacentral:lncRNA from 1 species